UGGGGGAUAUUGCACAAUGGGCGAAAGCCUGAUGCAGCGACGCCGCGUGGGGGAUGAAGGCUUUCGGGUUGUAAACCUCUUUCGCUAUCGAACAAGGCCCGCUUAGGGUGGGUUGAGGGUAGGUGGAGAAGAAGCGCCGGCUAACUACGUGCCAGCAGCCGCGGUAAUACAUAGGGCGCGAGCGUUGUCCGGAAUUAUUGGGCGUAAAGGGCUUGUAGGCGGCUUGUUGCGCCUGCUGUGAAAACGCGGGGCUUAACUUCGCGCGUGCAGUGGGUACGGGCAGGCUUGAGUGUGGUAGGGGUGACUGGAAUUCCAGGUGUAGCGGUGGAAUGCGCAGAUAUCUGGAGGAACACCGAUGGCGAAGGCAGGUCACUGGGCCAUUACUGACGCUGAGGAGCGAAAGCAUGGGUAGCGAACAGG
rnacentral:rRNA from 1 species